ACCUUGAAGAAGCUUCCAGGCACUUGACCUUUUAAAAUACAAUGUAAUUCUUUUUGAUGUUAGAAUGUCUAUCUUUGUGCGUAUGUAUCCUUCAUUAGAUGUCUAAUAUAAUGUAUUGGGUUAUUACUAACACCAGCAGCUCACAUAAUGGAAAAAACUCGUAAUCCCUCAGCAGAGUUUUGUUCCAUCACACAUACCAAGUAGUCUUCAAAUAAACCUGAAGGACGUGAUCAGUUGAAGCAGGUGUGUGUUGAAUCUAGACUCUGCAGGGCUCCAGGAAUUGAAUUUGACUCCCCUUCUCUACACCAGUGGUAUAUUUGGCAAUUGAACACCUCAUUUGUUGGCACAAGGUGGCGUAUUUACAAUAUAGUAAACACUGUGUAACUUUUGGGUCACAGGGAAUAACGUCAUCAUGUGUUAGACAUGAUCAGCUUACAUAAAUACAUCCUCUCACACCAGGGUUUCACAGAAGGAUGGUUACCAAUCUAGCCACAACAGAAUCGCUGUUAAAUCAAAUAAAAUAAUCAGUGUGUUAACGUGCUCCCCCUUGUGAACAAUAAGUGUAUCUUACUGAAAGAACAGCAUCACCCAAAUACUCCAGCAGACUCAUUAAAGCCCUGCUUUGACAAUAAUACAUCAAUACAAAUGAAAACUGCGUCACCACGAGGCGGCGCAAUCGGGUUCAGCUUCAGUCUGACUUCCUCACUGCUUGACAACAGUCACAACAACACCACGUGCAGGUCCUGCAGAGCUGUUAGUCACUUUGACAGCACAUCUUUCAGCUCGACAGCAAACAAACCCGCGUGAUAAAACGAGUGUCACGCGACUCACCUAAGAAGUGAUGUGUUGUUGGUUGGAAGCAGAGCUCUGGACGUGUGGACAGAUGUUGACUGUAAUGAUGGACAUCUGCUCAUGGACAGUGUGUGCAAAAGUAUAACCGCUGCGUGUCACAGUGCUGGAAGCUCCAGGGGGAGACCGUACUGAUAUCCCCCUUCUUCAGGCGCGCCUUCACACACACUACUCCAUUCACUCGUAUCGCAGAGACCUGGCUGGGAUUGAACCAGCAACCUCUGAACCGUGAGGCAGCGCUCUUACCUGCGAGCCACAGAUCUCUUGCUGGAGCACCUGAAGGAACUUAUAUUUGACUGUUUACCUGUGAUUUCCCAAUAAAGAAGUUGAAAGAA